GGCCCCGUUGUACUCCAGCCCCAGAGCCAGCAUUGCAAACUCAGCGGGAGGCAGUGCACUGAGAGGAGCCUAAAGGCCACGAGGCGCCUGGCACAUCCCAGGAUGCGGCUCAGAGCCAUCCUUCUGUCACAUCUCACUUGCUUUUCUCGCUUUUCACAGUCGCGAGACACAAGCAGGUGUGGGAUACAUCCCCUCUGCUCCAAGUGGCAGGGACCCCUCGCGGUCACUUCGGAAGAACAGCCAGAGAAGGCCAGGGCCCAGGGCAGAUGCAGACCAGAGCAGGGCGCGCUGUCCGGCAGGCAGGCAGCCAGCUUGGUUUUCCACAAGCACCAAGAGACAUGGAAAUUGUAUGGAUCACAAGUCUAUUAUAAUUGUUUGGAAACAGCUUCUCCCUUGAAUUGCUCGCUUUGGAAUUAAGUGUAGAACAGCAAUCGAGUGAUGGGAGGUGAAACCAGGGGAUAAAGUUUGGGAAAAUGAAGAACCCACCAAGAAUCAAAGACCAGCAACAGUACACAUGCCCGUUCAUGCAGCUAACACACAUGAUCACAGAUUCACAAGUUUGAAUGCGUACUCAUGCAAUUAACUUAGUCUUACAGCAACACGCAUGCGUGCUCUUCAAAUAUCCCAUGCACUGUUAAUCCUUUGCACAUGUGGAAACAGGUGGGAAGUAGCCGUGUCCCCCUUAAUUGCUAUUACAGAUUUCAUUUUUUCCCUCUCUUCUGGGAAUCAUGUGAUUUGUGCAUUUCUAUUGAAGUUUUAUGGAUAAGGAAACCAGUCUGCUAUGAAAUAAAUGA